rnacentral:rRNA from 1 species
CCUACGGGAGGCAGCAGUGGGGAAUAUUGCGCAAUGGGCGAAAGCCUGACGCAGCGACGCCGCGUGGGGGAUGAAGCUUCUCGGAGUGUAAACCCCUUUCGGCAGGGACGAAGCGAAAGUGACGGUACCUGCAGAAGAAGGUCCGGCUAACUACGUGCCAGCAGCCGCGGUCAUA